GCACGGCAGCAUGUGCCGCGGGGGCGCUGGGAGGCUGGAAACUGGGGUGCCCCUGAGAGCACCCCUCACUCUCGGCAGCUGCAGUCUUGGCACCACGGGUGGCUUCUGACCGUCGGAAGCCCUGGCGAGCCCGGCUCCAGUCACCCCCACCCAGGUCGCCUUGAGUUUGCUCAUCAGCGCCCUCGGGCUGGAACAAAGGCGAGGGGGCGCGCGGCAUCGCCCCAGCGGCCCUUUUUGCGCAUCUGGCCAAAGCCGGGAGAAUGAGGACUGGGGUCCCCAAGAUUUAUGGGACCCUCUUUGCCCGUUUCACUGAUGAAGAAACUGCAGCUCGGAGAGGUGAAGGCUUUGCCCUUUGGCUAAGCAGCUGGGACAGAGUGGACUCAGGCCCGUCCUCCACCUCACUCCUCGCCUGCAGAAGGAAGAGAUUCCUUAGGCCAAGAGGAAGAAGCCCACGAGAGGAGGUGCGAGUGUCUCAAGGAGCCAACGGGAUCCUCCAUUUGCCUGUGGUGUCAGGGCAGGGUCCUGAAGCCUGAGGGUCCAGGGUUGAGUCCCAGCUUGGGCACUUACCAGGUGUGACCUUGGGCUGGUCACGUGACCUGUCUGUGCUGCAGGUUCUGUAUCUGUAGAAUGAGUCAAAUAACAGAAACUAGCUGAGGGGGCCAUGAGCAUUAAAUGAGUUAAUAAGGCUUCAGCAUUUACACAAGUGUCUGGCAAUAGUAAAUCCUCAAGAAACAGGUGCCCCAUGACAGCCACAGUUGCAGGUUCGAACUCCCGCUGUUAAACUCCUCAUAGGCUUCUGCUCACAUUCUUCAAGUCUGGAAUCCACUUCUAGGAACCUGUCCUGAGGAUGUAAUCCCAGAUAGAUAGGGACAAAGCUAAUUGAUGGCCAGAGACGCUCACUGUACACCACGUACACCUGAAUAAAGUCACAAACACUUCCUACCACAGGGCAGUGGCUUAGUAAACAGGCAAGCCACUCAAUACAAUCACAGAGCUCCUGGCUGUGAUAUUCCCAAAGGGUUUAGAGUCGCAGGGAGAAGGCUGUUUUAAUGUUAAGUGAGAAAGGCUGAACACAGAACUCUAAACUCAGGGUGAUUUCAAGCUUGUAAAAAGAAAAUAAGCAAACAUAAAAUGUGUAUAGAAACAAGGUGAAAGGCAACAUAGCAAAACAUGGCCAGUGAUGAUCUCUGAGGAACAGGAAUAUGGGUGAUUUUUUUCCACCUUUUUCUACCUAUUGGCCAAUUUCUAAAUAUUCUGUAAUGAGUAUGUAUAAAACUUUUUUUCUUUUUUGAGAUAGGCAGAGUCUCACUGUGUCACCUAAGCUGGGGUGCAGUGCUGCAAUCAUGGGUCACUGCAGCCUUAAGCUCCUGGGCUCAAGCAAUCCUCCUAUCUCAGCCUCCCAAGUAGCUGGGACCACAGGCGUGCAUCACCAUGCCCAGCUAAUUUUUUCUUUUUUUUUUUUAAGAGACAAGGCCUCACUAUGUUACCCUGGCUGCUCUCAAACUCCUGAGCUCAAGUGAUCCUCCCACAGUCCUGGGAUUACAGGUGUGAGCCACAACACCUGACCAAAACUUUUCUAAUGGGAGAGAACUCAAUAGACUACUUUUGAAAUAAUACAGUUUUAUACAGUGAGCUGAAACAGACUUGUCCUUAGCAUGUUGGCAUGGAUUGGAUUGUCAGUUUUCUAGUAAUGAGUUGAACACUGGGGGCUGAGCCUGUGACCGACAGUGUUCACUUCAGUACAUGUUUAUUAGGGGCCCCAGCUCUGGGCUAGCCUCUGAUUGGGCAGGGGAAGAAGGGCCAGGGGCAGGGCCCAGACAUAGGUACAGUUUGAAGUCCCUUUGAUACCAGGCCAGCUGGAGGUACAGAGAAAACAUCCUGGAAACAUUGCUGGAUGGAGGCUGUCUUCGUGAUUUUCCAUAUUCAAAUGUUGCCGGUACUAUCAUUCACUUAAUAGAUUUUUAAAAAUUGGUUCACCU
rnacentral:lncRNA from 10 species